rnacentral:rRNA from 1 species
AUUGAUUUUAUGCUUGCAUAAAUGAUUUUUGGAUUCGGAGCGAGUGGCGAACUGGUGAGUAACACGUGGGUAACCUGCCCCGAAGCGGGGGAUAACAUUUGGAAACAAGUGCUAAUACCGCAUAAUUAGUUGGAACCGCAUGGUUCCAACUUGAAAGAUGGCUCUGCUAUCACUUUGGGAUGGACCCGCGCCGUAUUAGUUAGUUGGUGAGAUAAAAGCCCACCAAGACGAUGAUACGUAGCCGACCUGAGAGGGUAAUCGGCCACAUUGGGACUGAGACACGGCCCAGACUCCUACGGGAGGCAGCAGUAGGGAAUCUUCCACAAUGGACGAAAGUCUGAUGGAGCAACGCCGCGUGAGUGAUGAAGGUUUUCGGAUCGUAAAACUCUGUUGUUAAAGAAGAACAAGUGUUAGAGUAACUGUUAACACUUUGACGGUAUUUAACCAGAAAGCCACGGCUAACUACGUGCCAGCAGCCGCGGUAAUACGUAGGUGGCAAGCGUUGUCCGGAUUUAUUGGGCGUAAAGCGAGCGCAGGCGGUUUUGUAAGUCUGCUGUGAAAGCCCUCAGCUCAACUGAGGAAGUGCAGUGGAAACUACAAAACUUGAGUACAGAAGAGGAAAGUGGAACUCCAUGUGUAGCGGUGAAAUGCGUAGAUAUAUGGAAGAACACCAGUGGCGAAGGCGGCUUUCUGGUCUGUUACUGACGCUGAGGCUCGAAAGCAUGGGUAGCGAACAGGAUUAGAUACCCUGGUAGUCCAUGCCGUAAACGAUGAAUACUAGGUGUUGGAGGGUUUCCGCCCUUCAGUGCCGCAGCUAACGCAUUAAGUAUUCCGCCUGGGGAGUACGACCGCAAGGUUGAAACUCAAAGGAAUUGACGGGGGCCCGCACAAGUGGUGGAGCAUGUGGUUUAAUUCGAUGCUACGCGAAGAACCUUACCAGCUCUUGGCAUCUUCUGCCAACCCAAGAGAUUGGGCGUUCCCUUCGGGGACAGAAUGACAGGUGGUGCAUGGUUGUCGUCAGCUCGUGUCGUGAGAUGUUGGGUUAAGUCCCGCAACGAGCGCAACCCUUAUCAUUAGUUGCCAGCAUUUAGUUGGGCACUCUAGUGAGACUGCCGGUGAUAAA